rnacentral:rRNA from 1 species
UUCCCUUAGUAACUGCGAGUGAAGCGGGAAAAGCUCAAAUUUAAAAUCUGGUGGUCUUUGGCUACCCGAGUUGUAAUCUAGAGAAGCACCAUCCGCGCUGGACCGUGUAUAAGUCUCCUGGAAUGGAGCGUCAUAGAGGGUGAGAAUCCCGUCUUUGACACGGAUUACCAGGGCUUUGUGAUAUGCUCUCAAAGAGUCGAGUUGUUUGGGAAUGCAGCUCUAAAUGGGUGGUAAGUUCCAUCUAAAGCUAAAUAUUGGCGAGAGACCGAUAGCGAACAAGUACCGUGAGGGAAAGAUGAAAAGAACUUUGGAAAGAGAGUUAAACAGUACGUGAAAUUGUUGAAAGGGAAACGCUUAAAGUCAGUCGCAUUGACUAGGGAUCAACCUUGCUUCUGCCUGGUGUACUUCCUGGUUGAUGGGUCAGCAUCAAUUUUGACCAAUGGAAAAAGGCCAAGGGAAUGUGGCAUCUUCGGAUGUGUUAUAGCCUUCGGUCACAUACAUUGGUUGGGAUUGAGGAACUCAGCACGCCGCAAGGCCGGGUUUUUUACCACGUUCGUGCUUAGGAUGCUGGCAUAAUGGCUUUAAUCGACCCGUCUUGAAACACGGACCAAGGAGUCUAACAUGCCUGCGAGUGUUUGGGUGGAAAACCCAAGCGCGUAAUGAAAGUGAAAGUUGGGAUCCCUGUCGUGGGGAGCACCGACGCCCGGACCAGACCUUCUGUGACGGAUCCGCGGUAGAGCAUGUAUGUUGGGACCCGAAAGAUGGUGAACUAUGCCUGAAUAGGGUGAAGCCAGAGGAAACUCUGGUGGAGGCUCGUAGCGAUUCUGACGUGCAAAUCGAUCGUCGAA